rnacentral:rRNA from 1 species
UGGGGAAUAUUGGACAAUGGGCGCAAGCCUGAUCCAGCCAUACCGCGUGGGUGAAGAAGGCCUUCGGGUUGUAAAGCCCUUUUGUUGGGAAAGAAAAGCAGCCGGUUAAUACCCGGUUGUUCUGACGGUACCCAAAGAAUAAGCACCGGCUAACUUCGUGCCAGCAGCCGCGGUAAUACGAAGGGUGCAAGCGUUACUCGGAAUUACUGGGCGUAAAGCGUGCGUAGGUGGUUCGUUAAGUCUGAUGUGAAAGCCCUGGGCUCAACCUGGGAAUGGCAUUGGAAACUGGCGGACUGGAGUGCGGUAGAGGGUAGCGGAAUUCCCGGUGUAGCAGUGAAAUGCGUAGAGAUCGGGAGGAACAUCCGUGGCGAAGGCGGCUACCUGGACCAGCACUGACACUGAGGCACGAAAGCGUGGGGAGCAAACA